CUCAGACAUACCUGCUCUUUCAGUCUGCUCUUUCAGUGUUACCGUAGUGGAGUUAAAUGACGGUUGGUUACAUGUGUAUUGUGUGUUUUAGCCAUUAUAUUAAUGUUUAUUCUUGUUUUUAUACUGGCAAGACGUGUUGAAGCCACUCCUGUUAGCGUCCUUGGUGAUUCGCUUCAAUCACCUGUUGGAAGUUUUAGCCUUCUAGAGUUCUUUUGAUCAAUUUGUGGACUACUGCCAGUUAAACAAGAAGACUCGUAAAAAUCUUUUUAUAUUACCUCAUAUUGAAGAGUCUUUGGAUACAGCUUCUGGGGUCUGCUGAUUUUCUACUCUUGGCUUGGCAAGUGACUACAAUCAAGUUUCUGAAAAGGAUAGAGCCAAGAGUGCUUUUUGUACUCCUUUUGAAUUAUUUGAGUUUAACUGUAUGCCGUUUGGCCUCUGCAAUGCACCAAAUAUCUUCCAAAAAACCUUUGGAAAACCACACUGUCAGUUACUUUCUUUAUCUUGAUGAUGUUGUGUUUUUUUCUUCUACCAUUUCACAGCAUCUUGAGCGAUUAGGGGGGUGCAGGUCGAUUGGAACAGAAAGGACUUAAAGUUCAAAAAAUGUGCCUUUAGGAGGCUGGCUAUUCAAGACAUGUUAUUUCCAGUGCUGGUGUCUCCAUUGAUCCAAAGAAGAUUGAGGCAGUGGCCAAGUGGAAACAUCUAAGCCAUGUCUCUGAGCUGCGAUCAUUUCUGUUUUUUUGCCAGCUAUUAUCAUUGCUUUGUAGAGGGUUUUUUUCUAAGCUGGCAGUACCCCUACAAAAGCUAGAGGCUGAGUUGGCUGGUACAAAGUCUCAAAGGGACUGGACUGGAUGGGACUUUGGGGCAGCCUGGACAGAAAUAUGUGAAUAUAGCAUUGAAAGACAGAAAGCCAAACUUACCUUUACUCCAGUCCUGGCUUGCUUAUUUUGGAGGUAGAUGCCAGCCAAAGUGGCUUACUGUCACAGGAACAAGAAGGUGGCUUCCGUCCACCAGAACUUAACAUUGCAAACUAGAGUUUGAUGAACUUGAGUUCUUGGAUUUGGUAUGGGCAGUCACUGAAAAGUUUUAUGAGUACCUAUUUGGGCACAAGUGUAUAAUUUACACUAGUAACAAUCCUUUAAGCCACCUCGCCUUCAUCGAGCAGAAUUAAUAGGAACGCUAAUACUCUGUCUCAACAGUAUUUACCAAUUGCUACUUCCACCCCUGUUCCAAAACUUGCAGUAAGCUGUGGGAUUACAGAACCAGCCUCAUGUCAAUCAAACUCCCAUUUUUGUUUUACCCCAUCACUCUACCCAAUGUGUGUUCUUUGCAGCGAGCUGACCCCAAUUUUCAUGCUGUUUUAACCCUUCUGAGGCAGAAAAGGGACCCUAGUUCCUCGACGAGGAAGCCUUAUCUGCUUUAUCCACCUCAAACUGAGGUAAGCCACCUGGCUGGGUGGUGCAGAGACAAAAAUCUCAUUCUGAACGUGGAGAAGACGAAGGAGAUUGUUGUUGACUUCAGGGGAGUGAACAACCAGCAUGCUACCCUGACCAUCAAUGGUGCAGCUAUGGAGAGAGUGAGCAGCACUAAACCUCUCCUGGACUAACAACAGAAAUGAUGACUGAGGUGAAGCACUGGUGUCAGGAGUGUGAAAGGUGGCAAGUGGCUAAGGACACUAUUCUUGCAUUCCCUAGUUUUAUGGGGCAUCUGUUAGCUUCACGGCCCAACAAGAUUUUAAGAAAGGAAGCAUUAGAUAUUAGCCUCUCUUCUGGUCAUACCCUCUCUUCCGGUCUUCCACUACCUACUGUAGUGGAGCUAAAACUGUAAACGUUCCUGUAAACGUUCUUGGUGAAAUGCGUCAAGCAAUCGUUGGAUGUUUCAGGUAUGUAGUCACUCCUACUACCGUUUUGUAAUAAAAUUUGUUAUUUGUUGAAGUGUAUGACAUUACACUAUUAAAUACAUAAUUCCUUGUA